AGAAGAUGUUAACAAAAUAAAAUAGCUUGUGCAUUGCUAGAGUUUUAUCUCAAAAGCCACAUGUUUUCGUGCCUGUCUUUCAGGAAAAACUGUAUACUGUCAUGAGCAAAGUGCUUAUCACUUCCAGCUGUCUGGCAUUCGUUUAAAAAACAAAACUUUUGAGUCUUAGUCUGUAACUGGGAUUAACUCAUCUAACUGAACAAGGUAAAUUAAUUAGUAAAGUUUCAACUGCCUUUCUUUUGUUUUCUUUACCAUGGACGCGUCCUAAGACCCGAGGUUCCAUUUAGCACUGGCUGCCUCUUCUUUUUUCUUCCUUUUUUUGCCUGCGCUUGCGGCACGUGGAAGUUCCCAGGCCAGGGAUGAAGCUGCUCCGAAGCUGCCCCUGCCCCACAGCUGUAGCAAUGCCGAACUUUAACCCCUGCACCACAAGGAAGCUUCCAGCAUUUGCUACCUCUGACGACGGAAAUAAUGUUUGUCCUGGAGAAAAGCCCAUCGCACGGCCCAGGAGUAUGUGCGGCAGGAUGCGAAAGUCUCUUGUGACCCCAGUCAACAGAUUAAAUUGUUCCAAAGACCGUAUGCGCAACAAACCCUUAUUUAAAUGUUAUCAUAUUAGAUGAACAGUUUUGCAUGACCCCACUACGGUUAGAAAGUUCUGUACUAGUCUGGAUUCCUUCAAGUGGCAAGUUUCAGAAAAUCCACCUUAAACUGACUUAGACAGCAAACAUAUUUUAUUAACAAAGUCUGGGUCCUGGCUGGACAGAGGAGCUUAGGCAACGCUUUUAGUUCUCAGGUUUGUUCAGUUCUCUUGUUGUUCUGCUCUUCCCUGUCUUGGCCCCAUCUUGCAGCAAACACUUGCCCCAUGAUGACAGUAAAGCUGGCACAACCCCUCCUGGCAACCCGUUGGAAAGAAGAGAUUCCAGCUUCUUAACAGUUUCCCAGGUCUGGAUUGAGUCUCAAAGGCACUGCUUGAAUCGCGUGUCCAUCCCUGAAUCUGUAACUGUGACCAAGCGAAUGGUGUUGAUCAGGGGGUCAAGCCCAAAGCGCUUUCCAUCCAGGGAGGCAGAGGUAAAAUUAGUAGUGGCCCCCAGAACCCCAAAGCCUUCACGUCGAGGGACGCAUCAUUUCCCAACAGAAAAGCAGAAUAUUAUUGACAAAGGAGGAAUGCGUGCUGCGUGAGAAAGGACAUCCCAUCUCCUAGUAGCCCAAGUUCCAUAAAUAGACUUCUUUGUAUACAUAGUUUUCUGUAGGUUUUUUGGGUUGCUUUGUUUUACGUAAAAGUUGUGGGGAUGGUACAGAGCUCCCAGACAGCCAGGGAGCUUUGCCUGGAAUCUUUCCAUCUUGCACAACCACAAUGCAUUUGUCAAAACCAAGAAAACUAAACCAUAGAUUUUAUGUAGAUUUCACAAUCUUUCCACCACUGAUCUUUUUUCUGUUCCAGACUCCAAACCAGGGUUCCACAUGGCGCUUAGUGUGGAUACACUUUCUUAAAAUAGUCACACCUCAUAAAAUGUAAUUAUGUAUAUGUAUGACAAAAAUCUCCUUAUAAAGAAAACUCAGUCUCAUUUAAUUCAUAUUGAAGUUCAAAAACUUGAACUUUGUAUUUCUCUUUUUAGUUCUAGAUAUAACACAACUUCUUAUGGCAAACUAUGGCCAAAUUACACACCUAACCUAUUCCACCAUACGCAAUGUACAGUGGUGGAAAGAAGAGGAGCUGAGAUAUUCCAAGGAGGGGGAGGAAGAUAAAAAGGAGAUGAAGGAGAAGGAAGAAGGGACGAGUGAGGAAAGAAGGGAAAAGGAAAAGCAGUUUCCUUUGGAAGAGAAGAGAAACGAGAACACGCCGUGUCACCAUCCACACGCAACACAGCCCACUGAAAAGCACAGCGAGGACGCCCCGCCUGGGCCCUCGGGUGAGGGUGCGGACCGGCCGCGUUUCCCCCGCUGUCCCCGUUAUCCGACCACAUCUUACAUGACCCCUGAGGCGGCUUCCUUCCUUCUGCAACUCUUAAGCAACCCACUUCUCGUCCCUGUGGGGCACUCUGCCUUUCAUGGACUGUUAGACGUAACUUUGUUCCACUUUAUUCUCGUGCUUGGUAUGUAAUUCUGCUUCCAGCGAGGGGCGCGUGUGCGCGUCCCUUCAUGGAGGGCUGUAUAUAUACCAUAUCGUCCUUGUCCACUACAUACUGAGCCUGUACAGUGUGCCAGAGAUGGUUCUCGACGCUGGGGGUAAAGAAGGCGAAGACAAAACAAUGAAACCCCCCCUCUCCUUGGAGCUGAGACGGAAAAGAGAUCUUCUGCCAGCUCACCCGAGAGAGGCGAGCUGGAAGAACGUUCUUUGGCAAGAAGGAAUUUUGAGGAAUAGUAGCAGAAAAGGUAGUGAAAUGAAGACAGCGAAAGGAGGGUGCGGUACAAGAGGAACUUUGGAAAUUCUCUCAUUUAUUGCCAGUCCGUGAAAAUAGCGAACAAAGUCACCCGUUGAAAGGGACAAGGAGGAAGUGCCCUGGGCUGAAUUGAGUGCCCUCAAAUUUACAGGCUGAAGUCCCAACCCAGGUACCGCAGCGUGGAACUCUAUUUGGAGAUAAGGUUACUGAAGAGGUCACGAGGAUAAAAUGAAGCCCUUGGUGGGGACCCCAACCCAGUGCGACUCAUUUCCUCUAAGAGGAAAUCCGAAUACAGACACCAGACGUGUGCUCUGCAACAGAGGACACAGCAGGAACGCUGCCUUGGCGGCUCUCGCCGAACAGUACAGGAAGGAGGGACUGGGUUUGAGCAGCGAAGAAAAAGCAGUAAAUGAUCGUGUGGGGAAACGAGCGCGAGGAUUAUGUUUUGUCAAAGAUGCCACCGAUGGUAAACACACCAUUAUUUUAAGGAGCACUGAAAAAGAGAAAACCCUGCCAGUCAAAAUAGGACGUGCCACAGUGGCACACAUUAGGACGCAUCCUCAUUUCAGAGAUACUAAGUGCGAAAACGUGUGCAUCAAGUGGCCCCAAGGACCCACGUGAGACGAGUGAUCAUGAAACCAAGUGGGGCGCGUGGGCACAGUCGGGUGUCUUUCUAGCGCGGGUGCAAACGUGGAGUGGAUGUAAACGUUGGGGAAUUUGGCUCUGAACAGCUUUGGCUUUUUCCAAGGAGUUCAGGAAAGCGCGCAGGUUACAAGGCGGUUGAAGAUGCGUAUAAGCGAGCCAGGGGGUGACUUUACAGAGAAGGCGGUUGCCGGCAGAGGAUUGGGGGGGCGCUGCAAACUGGCCGGGAGGGCGUGCCAGAGGGUAGUGUGAGCAGGCGCCGGAACGGAGAUUUACCCGGGUAAUGACGGCGGGGUCCGGAACGCACGCCCAGGGCGGGAGUCGCUGGGAUGACGUGGAGCACAGGAUCCCCGGAGGAGAGGCCCGGAAACAAAGAAACCAAGAUUUGAAGAAUCCUCCACAUGGAUGGGGAAAUCAAGAUGGAAAGAGAGUGGAAUUCCAAUCUUCAACGAAUGGGUGGGGGUGGGGUGCUGGGGAGGGUGAAGGGGAAGAACGCAGAGGUCAGCGAACAACCAGCAGGGGGAGUGAGUGAGGCAGCCGGAGAUCCACGCCGGCGCUUAAGGAGCCCCAGGAACAGCCCGGAUUCCAGAGCGUAAACAUGGGCCCCAGAGGUGGCAGCUACCCAGACUCCAGGCCCAGCCGUCCAAGGGAGAGAAGACAGCAGGGGACACAACUUCCACCGAGGAUGGACUUCUCAGGACAAAGCUGUUUCCCUUAGACUUACAGAAACUUGUAGCAUUCAGGGUUAGUGGUGACAGAUCUGACGCCAGUCUCUUUCUUUUGCAGACAAUGUUUUUGUUAUUUCUCAAUAUAAAUAAGUCUAAAGUUCCAAUAAAAUGUAAAAUUCUGAGACACUACCUUGUUGUGUUUCAAGGGUGACUUCUGUCAUAUGUCGUGCUUUGCGUUCCAUGAGCCUCUUACAGAGUAGAGGGAGACUCGAGAGUGUUUAAGGCUACUGAUGCAAUGCUUCCGUGACGAACUGUACCAAAUGACAUGGUUACCCUAGAAAAAUAUUUACAAAAUUCGUUUGCUAGGCAAGCUAAAAAAAAUCCACAAUAUAUUCCCCACAGCAGAUUAUAUAUACUGACAAUAUGUAAUAAAAACAUUUUAUUAGCAAAAAAUCUCCAAAGUAAAAUAUAUCCAACCACCUGGGAAUUGAAAUGCUAUUCUAAAUAAUCCUUGAAUCCAACAAGCAAUCAAAUUUACAGCCACCAAAUAUUUAGAAAACAAUAACCAAAAAAAAAUUCCUAACCUACAGGGUAGAGCCAAAAAAAUAAUGAGAGAAUUAUACCAUUAAAAGGGUUUCUUUUAGAAUUGGAAGGAAGGAAAACAAACGGACUAAUCAUUCAACUCAAGAGGGAGGGAUAAAUAAGAGAAGUAGAAGGAAAGAAUCCAAGUCAGAAUAAAUGAGAAAGUAAGUGAUCAAUUUUUAUUCCCUGGUGGUGAGAGCACAGAGGUAGAACGGGCAAAUCCUAACGAGUCCAACCAAGGAAAAGAGAAAAAAACAUACAAAUGAUAUGGAAUAAUAGAUGGUAACAUAGUUAAAACACCAAGAUUAGUAAGUGCAACUAAAAGCAUUUUAAAUAUAAGGUGGACUACAUGAUGAAUUUCCAGAAAAAGGAAAAUUAUCCAUAUUUACUCAAGAAACAGAACCCUGAACAGAUCGAGGGCAUGAGGAAAGGGAGGAAUGUUGACAGAAUUACCUUCAAGAAGAGUCAGGUAUAUCUGGAUAUAAAUAAAGCAGCAUUAACUACAGUAAGAUUAUUCUCAGGAUACAUAAACUAUUCUAAAUCCGCCCCCCCAAAAAUGAGUUUUCCAGUUCAUUCUGCAACACUAUCAAAACCUGUGAAUUAGUUCCCCUUGUGACUCAGCGGGUUAAGAACUCAACAUAGCGUCUCUGAGGAUGUGGGUUUGAUCCCUGGCCUCUCGCAGUGGGUUAAGGAUCUGGGGUUGCCACAAGCCGAAGUGGAGGUCGCAGAUGGGGCUCAGAUCCAGUGUCGCUGUGGCUGUGGUGCAGGCUGGCAGCUGCAGCUCUGAUUCAACUCCGAGCCUGGGAACUUCCAUGUGCUGAAGGUGCAGCCUUAAAAAAAAGAAAAAACAAAACCAAAAUAAAUACAUAAACUUGUUAAUGAAAACCAGACUUCUCUCUCAUAUACAUAAAUACAAAAUCCUAAAUACAGGGUUAGUCUCUAGGAUGCAGCAGCAUUUCUAACGAAUGGUCCAGUAUUAGAUUCUAGUAAUGAAUUGUGCCCAUACCAUCAAUAGAUCAAAGGAGAAAACGCUGUACAAUGAAAAAGCAUUUGAUCCUAAUAAAUGGGCUUCAUGAAUAUUCUUAACAUUCUAUUUCUAACCUAUAGUUUAAAUUAUACGUGAAUGAAAUCUGAAAAUCAUAAAAUCAGAAAUGAGAAGGCCCAUUAUCAUAUUCAAUCAAAUGAAAACUAUUAGAAAUAAAUGUGGCCAACAGCUUUCCCAUAUCAGCAGACUAGUUUAAAAUAUUAUCUGUAAUAAUAUGAAGAGCCCAUUUCUAGAAGCAACAACAACAAAAAAUGGAAACUCUUAAAAAACAGCAUAUCGGAACUACAGUAAAGAAAAUUUCAGCUCAGUGGGUUAAGGAUCCGGCGUUGCUGUGAGCUGUGGUGGAGGCCAGCAGCUACAGUUCUGAUUCGACCCCUGGCCUAGGAACCUCCAUGUGCCACAGUUGCAGCCCUAAAAAG
rnacentral:lncRNA from 1 species